rnacentral:rRNA from 1 species
CCGUAGGGGGCUAGCGUUGCCCGGAAUCACUGGGCGUAAAGCGGGUGUAGGCGGUUCUUUAAGUCGGAUGUGAAAUCCCGCGGCCCAACCGCUGAAUUGCAUCCGAUACUGGGGAACUUGAGGACGGUAGAGGUCGGUGGAAUAUCCGGUGUACCGGUGAAAUGGACAGAUAUCGGAUGGAACACCAGUGGCGAAGGCGGCCGACUGGGCCGAUCCUGACGCUGAGACCCGAAAGCCAGGGUAGCGAACCGG